AUGUAAACAACAUCCAGGCUCUAUUUACAGUCGCCGCCGGACGGCAAGGGACCCACGCCAGCUGCCUGGAAGCAGGCGGGGGUGGGGGAAAAGCGAGUGCGCAACAUUUACACACACCCGCCCCGCCCCUCCGCGCCACUGCCCCGCCAGGGGGCCGGAGCGGGACACCGGGGGUCUCCCCGCGCCCUCGUUCAACCUGCGCCGGUCUUGACACCCCAGCGAGAGCCAGAGUCUUCUCAGCAUCUUCACCAGGAGUAGAUUCCAUCCCAAGAAAUCACUGUCAAGCUUCCCUGGUGGCUCAGUGGUGAAAAAAAAAAAAAAAAAAAUCCACUUGCCAAUGCACGAGACACGGAUUUGAUCGCUGAUUCCAGGAAGAUGCCACAUGCCUUGGAGCAGCUAAGCCCGUGUAUACUACAGCUGUUGAGCCUGUGCUCUAGAGCCUGGGAGCUGCAACUAGUGAGCCCACGUGUCACAACUACUGAAACCUUCACGUCCUGGAGCCCAGGCUGUGCAACAAGAGCAGCCGCUGCAAUGAGGAACCCGAGCACCACAGCUAGAGAAAGCCCUUGGGCAGCAAUGAAGACCCAGCACAGCCAAGAAUCAAAUACAUAAUGAAAUAAAAUUGUUUUAGAAAGAAAUCACUUUCUUCCCUCAUUCAUAAGAAGCAACUCUUCACCCACUAAAAUUUUAAAUUGAUGUUACAGCAAUUUAGUCGCAUUGUCAGGCUGCAUUUCUAAUUCUGCUUCUCUUGCAGUUUUCAUCACAUCUGCAAUUACUUCCUCCACGGAAGUCUUGAACUCCUCAAAGUCAUCCAUGACUGUUGGAAUCAACUUCGUCUAAACUCCUGUUAAUGCUGAUAUUUUGACCUUUCCCCAUGAAUCACAAAUAUUCUUAAUGGCGUCUAGAAUGUUGAAUUCUUUCCAGAAGGUUUUCAAUUGAUUUUGCCCAGAUCCAUCAGAGGAAUACUAUUUAUCACAUCUAUAGCCUUAUAAAAUGUGUUUCUUAAUAAAACUUGGAAGUCAGAAUUACUGUACUCCUUGACCCAUAGGCUGUAGGAUGGAUGUUAGCAGGCAUGAAAACAUUUAUCUCAUUGAAUGUUUCUAUCAGAGCUCUGGGUGACCAGGUGCAUUGUUAAUAAAUAUUAAUAUUUUGAAAGGAACCUUUUUUUUUUUUUCUGAAACAUAGGUCUUAAGAGUAGAUCUCAACACUGG
ensembl:lncRNA